GCCCAGAUGGCGGAAUUGGUAGACGCGCACGGUUCAGGUCCGUGUACCGCAAGGUGUGGAAGUUCGAGUCUUCUUCUGGGCA
rfam:Devosia sp. LC5 contig2, whole genome shotgun sequence.